rnacentral:rRNA from 1 species
AUGUAUCUAGCACGGAGAAGCUUUUUCGGACGGAGGGAGUAUGAGGUAGUGCAAGUUAGAAAACAAAAGGCACAAGAAACACAAAGCCGAAUGAAGAGACCCAUUGGCUCAAACUUAUACCUUUUCACUUUCACAUCACUGGCAAUGCAACUGCAAAUUUGUCAACAGAUACUAUGUGCAAUAUCAUCACAGCUACAAGAUGCAACUGAAAACAGAUGCAGCUGCAAGUUUGUCAACAAAGUAACAAGGACCAAAAAUAUUGCAAACACUGAAACAGCAAUAAACAAUUGUCAGCCAUAG